UUACGGCCAUAUCAUGUUGAAACACUGUUUCUUGUAUGAUAACUGAGUUAAGCAAUGUUGAGCCAGGUCAGUAUCUAGAUGGGUGACCACUUGGGAAUACCAGGUGCUGUAA